rnacentral:rRNA from 1 species
ACUCAAAUGAAUAGACGGGGGCCCGCACAAGCGGUGGAGCAUGUGGUUUAAUUCGACGCAACGCGCAGAACCUUACCAGCUCUUGACAUGAUACUUGCAAUCUAUGGAGACAUAGGUUUCACUUCGGGUGGGGUAUCACAGGUGCUGCAUGGCUGUCGUCAGCUCGUGUCGUGAGAUGUUGGGUUAAGUCCCGCAACGAGCGCAACCCUCAUCUUCAGUUACUAACGGGUAAAGCCGAGGACUCUGGAGAAACUGCCGGUGACAAACCGGAGGAAGGUGGGGAUGACGUCAAGUCCUCAUGGCCCUUAUGGGCUGGGCUACACACGUGCUACAAUGGCGGUAACAAAGGGAAGCAAAAUCGCAAGGUGGAGCGAAUCCUCAAAAGCCGCCUCAGUUCAGAUUGUCCUCUGCAACUCGAGGGCAUGAAGUUGGAAUCGCUAGUAAUCGUAGAUCAGCAUGCUACGGUGAAUACGUUCUCGGGCCUUGCACACACCGCCCGU